CGGUACAUCGGUGACAGGUGGUGGCAUGGUUGUCGUCAGCUCGUGUCGUGAGAUGUUGGGUUAAGUCCCGCAACGAGCGCAACCCCUAUUGUUAGUUGCCAUCAUUCAGUUGGGCACUCUAGCGAGACUGCCGGUAAUAAACCGGAGGAAGGUGGGGAUGACGUCAAAUCAUCAUGCCCCUUAUGACCUGGGCUACACACGUGCUACAAUGGGCGGUACAAAGGGUCGCGAACCCGCGAGGGGGAGCCAAUCCCAAAAAGCCGCUCUCAGUUCGGACUGCAGGCUGCAACUCGCCUGCAUGAAGCCGGAAUCGCUAGUAAUCGCGGAUCAGCAUGCCGCAGUGAAUACGUUCCCGGGCCUU
rnacentral:rRNA from 1 species